UUUUUUUUUUUUUUUUACCCCCUCUUACUCUUUAUUUCCUUUUCGCCUUUAGUAUUUUUAUCAUAAUAACGCUUUUUUGAUGAUGGAUGUGAAAAAAGAAAAG
rnacentral:ribozyme from 1 species